UGUAGCGGUGAAAUGCGCAGAUAUCAGGAGGAACACCGGUGGCGAAGGCGGGUCUCUGGGCCGAAACUGACGCUGAGGAGCGAAAGCGUGGGGAGCGAACAGGAUUAGAUACCCUGGUAGUCCACGCCGUAAACGUUGGGCGCUAGGUGUGGGGGCCAUUCCACGGUCUCCGUGCCGCAGCUAACGCAUUAAGCGCCCCGCCUGGGGAGUACGGCCGCAAGGCUAAAACUCAAAGGAAUUGACGGGGGCCCGCACAAGCGGCGGAGCAUGUUGCUUAAUUCGAUGCAACGCGAAGAACCUUACCUAGGCUUGACAUGCACGGAAAUCCUCCAGAGAUGGUGGGUCCGUAAGGGCCGUGCACAGGUGGUGCAUGGUUGUCGUCAGCUCGUGUCGUGAGAUGUUGGGUUAAGUCCCGCAACGAGCGCAACCCUCGUUCUAUGUUGCCAGCACGUCAUGGUGGGGACUCAUAGGAGACUGCCGGGGUCAACUCGGAGGAAGGUGGGGAUGACGUCAAAUCAUCAUGCCCCUUAUGUCUAGGGCUGCAAACAUGCUACAAUGGCCGGUACAAAGGGCUGCGAUACCGCGAGGUGGAGCGAAUCCCAAAAAGCCGGUCUCAGUUCGGAUUGGGGUCUGCAACUCGACCCCAUGAAGUUGGAGUCGCUAGUA
rnacentral:rRNA from 1 species